rnacentral:rRNA from 12 species
GCUCUCGGCCGCACCCGAGUGUGAGCUCCCAAUAGCGUCCAAUCUUGAAAGCUAAGCAGGGCCGUGUCUGGUUAGUACUUGGAUGAAAGACCAUCUUGGAAGACCAGAGGCUGGUAGCC